AUGCAGUUUCAAAAACGCAACGCAGACCAGUAGUCGGGGCACACAUUGUUUUUCAUCGCACCGACUUGCGAAAGUUCACGCGCGUCAGCUCUGGAUGGAUUGUUUGUUCGAUCUGCAUCUUACUCGUCGUCAGUUCGGCGUCAUCAUGAGUUCGGUAGGAUCGGAAGGAAAGACCGUAAAUGUUGUCCGUCGAAUUCGCGUGCCUUAUAUCAUAAUGCGUAUGGUCGGAUAUAAUCUGCUAGAUUACGAUUCCAAUAAUAAGAUGAGCAAGACAGAUUUCUGCUUGCGUUCUUUGGCUAUCGGUGCGACAUUGUACAUGAUAAUUCCCGGGCUAGUAGCGAUGACAGAAUUUGACGACGAUCUUGGUUAUUUAUCGAAAACAGCGAGCAUCAUGAUGACGGUUACUCAGAAUUUGGGUAUGCUCUGUAACUUUUAUUACCGAGGAAGCAAGUAUAGAAGUUUGAUUAAAAAAAUGCGAGAAGAAUUAUGGACCGAAACAUUGUCUCCGUCAUUCUGGGGUCACUUUAAAAGAUUCGAUCGCUAUGCCACCGUAAUCACUGCAUGCAUGAUGCAGGGUUUCUAUGGGGCAAGUGUCAUGUUUUGGCUACUCCCACUGUUGGUUAACGACUUCGAUUUAUACAAAGAUGUGAACGCGCCAUACCGGACACCGUUCGUUGGCAAAUAUUUCUACGAUCAUAGACCAAGUCCCCAAUUCGAGAUUACCUACGUCGGUCAAAUUCUUUGCAGUCUUUGCGCUGCCACCGUUGGUGUUGCCCUGGUCUCUUUUUACGGUACCGCCUCCAUGCAUCUUUGCGCUAAACUUCGUCUGCUCAACCUCAGAUUCACCGGCAUCGACGCCACCACCAGCGAACGAGAAUUCAUCGGUAUUACCCGCGAGCACGAGUUUCUGAUACGAUUUGCCAAGGAUGUGGAGGACAUUCACAACCCGAUACUUCUAAUUCACUUCCUACUGAGCACAUUGAUCAUCUGUCUCAAUAUUGUGAUGUUGACUUUAGCCUCGGAAAAACAAGACACACUGGAUCUCGUUCUAUCCAUGCUGUAUUUUGGGGCAGCUGUUGUCGAAAUUUUCAUAUUGUGCUGGGUGGCGAACCAAGUUUUUGUACAGAGCGAGAAUUUGGCGAGAGCAAUUUACAGCUGCCGAUGGUACGAAGCGUCGGUAUUCGUGCGACAUGGCGUCCUCCUCAUCCUUGCGCGCACUCAGAGACCCAGCGUCCUUACGGCCGGGAAAUUUUUUCCCGUUACCCUCGAGAGCUUCACCACGGUGAUUAGAUAGAAUAACAUUUUGCACAGCUCGAAUUUGACAACUCUUUCCCAGUCUGCAGCACAGCCGCUUCUUACUACACGGUUCUGAUAGCGAUCGCGUAAAGAUAAUCAACGUUGAUCUAACGAUGUGUCACGAUGAAUAACUCAUCGGAUUAUAAUGUCAGUUAUUUCGCUUCGCCGGAUCGGUGGAAUAUUUCACUCUUUGUGUUUAAAUGUUAGUCGAGGAUGUAGAAGUCCGUUUUCAAUUAAACGAACACGAACAAAUUACCGUCUUUUGAAAUAGUUCUUCAUAUAUUCGAACCUAUUUUAUUUUGUAGUACGCUAGCUCAGACUACCUUUCUGCUCUCGGGAUAGGUAAUAAAAAAAGUCGUCAAUAUAUCUCAAGGAACUUGUCGUGACUCGGGAAUUCGGAGAGCCGGCAAGGCAAUUUUUCGUCAACUCUCGUCAGUCGUCAUUAACUCGAUAUCCACCGGGUCUAUGUGUUUCGUUCUAAAA